rnacentral:misc_RNA from 1 species
AAGUCGUAACAAGGUUUCCGUAGGUGAACCUGCGGAAGGAUCAUUAAUGGAAUAAACCUGGUGGACUGUCGCUGGCUCUCUUGAGAGCAUGUGCACGUCUGUCAUCUUUAUCUUUCCACCUGUGCACCUUUUGUAGACCUGGAUGCUUAAUAUAUCAAUCUGAGGUCAACUCAGGCGUGAGGACUGUCGGCGUCGCAAGAUAUCGGCUUUCCUUGUAGCAUCCAGGGACUAUGUUUUUCAUACACACUUUAAAAAUCUAAUAGAAUGUCGUUUUAAAGGGUCUUUGUACCUAUAUAAAACAAAUAUACAACUUUCAGCAACGGAUCUCUUGGCUCUC